CAAAGGGAACCGGGCUUCUACAACGUUCGCCGUUCGGUGGCUGAUAUUAGUCGUUUCUCCUGGUUGCCACUCAGGUGACCAGGACCCGUUCGUUCGUUGUGCAUGAAAAUGUGGGGAGCCGGGACCGAGACCGAGCCGAGACCGAGCCGAGACCGAGCCGGGACCGAGCCGAGACCGAGCCGAGACCGAGCCGAGACCGAGCCGAGACCGAGACCGAGCCGAGACCGAGCCGAGACCGAGCCGAGACCGAGCCGGGACCGAGACCGAGCCGAGACCGAGACCGAGCCGGGACCAAGCCGAGACCGAGCCGGGACCGAGCCGAGACCGAGCCGGGACCAAGCUGAGACCGAGCCGGGACCGAGCCGAGACCGAGCCGAGACCGAGCCGAGACCGAGCCGGCCGGGACAGUAGAAGGAACCUCCCCGGACGGAGGUCUACCAGGGUUAAAGUCGGCCCACAACGCCAGGCCUAGCAGGACCUGGGGGGCGGCAGCUGCUGCAACCAAGGAAACGAGCAAACACCGGGCCGAGCGAGAAGCGCGGUGAGAGCUUAGCAACAGCCGAGCACAGCAAACGCAGAUAUUUGCCACGCCGGACGCGUCCCUGUCCUGCCGGCGAAUACGACGGGAGAAUGUGUUUUAUUGCCGCACGCCGCUCCGGUCACGUGAGGUAAAGCCGCGGCGCGCUCUGUGUGGAGUGUCUUCACCAUCGACUGAAAGUCUUCAGGCGAGGCGCCGGGCGCGGCCGGGCGGAUGUGAGGCGAAGGCCAUGAAGGAGCCGCCGCUGUCUCUGCUGAGCCGGGGGUACGGCCGGGUGGCGCCGGCGGAAGAUGGAGGUCCGAGUGGUCGGGUGGAGGUGUUCUACGAGGCUCAGGAUUACUUCGACCGGAGGGCCCGGCUCCGCCUGUCCAGGAGCGGCCGGAUGCUGGGGGGGGCGGAGCCGGCACCCCCCAAGACCUACAGCACCAGGAGAGGGCCGCUCGUCCUGUUCUCCCAAGACAUGGCCCUGUCCUCCGGCCAAUCAGGGGCCAGCGACGAGAGGCGGCUCCGCCUGCACCCCCUGGGGGACCUGACGCGAGUCCUUUUAUCUCGCGGUGAAAAGCAGCUGAGAGAAGGCGGGAGCACCAACAGCCGCCACCCGCUGCUCCACCUGAGCACCAGCCGGAGUCCCCAGGAACGGUGGAGCCAAUGCCACCCACCCGAGAAUGAAGAGGAGGGUCCCUCAACCUCUCAAAGCCACCCUCUCCACCCAACCUCCUUACGGUACCGGUCUCGCCUCCUCCCCUCCCCCAGGCCCGACCGCACCACCCACAUCUACCUUCCACCAAUCCCAGCUAGAGCAGCAACUCACAGGCCUACAGACUUCAAAAUGAGCUCGGAGACAGGUGUUCCAGAUGAUCCACAACCAACAAAACCCACGAAAAGAGAGCAGCUGAGAAUAGUGGUACAGACACCGCAAGUUCCCAUGAGCCCUUUCACCAAGCUGAAGUCUGAAAAACAGGAGGAAAACGCUGGAAUGAUGGAAGACCGCUCCCAGGACACGUCUCUGCCACCUUUGAUCGGCUCUUCAGAGCCCACGUGGGGUCAUGAGAAACUCAGUCUGAAGACAGCCCACGUAGAUUCUUCAUGGACGAACAGCCGUCCCGCUAACAUCAGCUUCUAUGGGGGUCACAUGGUUGGAAACCAUCUAAGGAACAGUAGCCAAUCCUCAAGGCCGGGUGGACCUAAACACAGCGGGUGCAGAGAGGAGGCAGUGUCAGAAGCCAGCCUGUCCAUCCUGCAUCUUCCUCCCAUCCACAGAGGGGCAGUGGUGAGCUCAGGUUACGAGGACCACACCUGUGCAAAAACAGCUGACCACGCCCACCACCUGCCCUCCGUUCCCGAAGAGGCGCUAAUCACAGGCGAAAAAGGUCCCCAACGUCCUUGGACCCCACACACACCAGAGGUAUCAACAGAGAGACCAGCGGCAACGUCAGACACACCAGUUGCACCUCUACCAAGAGGAACAUUGCAAAGAGCAGAAGCGUCAGUAGAUGCACCUGCAACAGCUGAGAGACCAAAAGAUGUUGGGUGCAGCAAGAUGUUCUUAUUGCUUUCUGAACAACAAGAGGAUGAGACCCAAGAGUUGAAAAGUGGUUUCCGUGGCAGCCACGCUAAAGAGAGGCUAAAAGAACUGAACCGGCCAAAGGAGGAACGGGAGGUUGGAGACCUCGGCUUUAGACUCGUCGGGUUUAACUACGACCACGUCAUUCUUCUGGAGCCGGGAGAAGAACACCCCUCUUCGCUGGUCGCCCUGCCCCCACUGGUCGGGCGGAAGGGUCCGGGAAAGCAGAGCUCGAUGGCCAUCUACAGACAGGACCCGCACGAGCCCAGUGAGGGCAGCCAAUCAGAGCCCAGCAUUGUGCGUGGUAGCCUUCCAUUGGAGCUUCGAGAAUGGCGGGAGGGCAGAGCCCUGGGCUGCCUGGUCCUGGGCCCCGACGGUGAAAUCCUCCAGCUGUCCCUGUGGGACUCCACAGCUGCUGACCAGGACCACCCAGUGCUGCGUGAUGUCACACGGGACCACGGUCUUCCCGUCAAUCUGGAGGUGCUGCCAUCAGAUGGAGAUUUGGACGAAAUGUGGACCGUCCUGCUGCACGCAGAGACCACAGAUCCACGGUAUUUGAUGGCAAAUUCAUCGUCUUUCGAAGAACGAAUAAAACAGGCCCCGGCACUGGCUGGACGUGAAAACUCCCCCUGGAAGCCUGAAGUUGCCCCCAACAAAGCAGAAACAUCUCAUUUCACGCCGGUUCCACCUAAGAUCGUCUUGUCCCACCAUGGGCGAACCAACAGGACAACGGCAACAUGUUCAAAAAGCCCAAACUGCCGCCAAGAACAACCUGCAGAGAGCCUCUGAGGAGCAGCUUCAUGGUAAUCAGGUUCCAUCCCAUAAUGAUGUUCAGACAGCUGAGACCAGUUUACUGGAUCUAACCUGGACAGAUGACACGCUGUCCACUAGUCCAGAGGAGCUUCAGCUUAACGUCCUGCAGAGGAAGGAUGGUAACGGGUCCAUAGAGAUCCCCCCCGUGCUGGCAAGGAAACCAGAGCCACAGCCCAGUGGCCCCAAACCCCCAGGUUCAGCAGAGGUGCCAGUGAGAGUGAAAACCGGCCCACAAUCCACCGCAGGAUCUCCGAGGCACUCUGAGAAAUCCAAGCAGGGUGUAGAGACCGAGAGAACCCCAAGAAAUCGUGGGGGUUCCACCAAACAGGAGGCCAGAGAACAUGGAGAUGGCACGGUGCAGAAGACAGGAGGGAGGCGGGGUGAGGUUGAAAAGAAAGGAGGAGCCCGGAGA
rnacentral:lncRNA from 1 species